UACGUAGGCAGCGAGCGUUGUUCGGAAUUACUGGGCGUAAAGAGUGUGUAGGCGGUGCUCUAAGUUCGGUGUGAAAUCUCCCGCUUAACUGGGAGGGUGCGCCGGAAACUGGAGUGCUCGAGCGUGGGAGAGGAAAGCGGAAUUCCUGGUGUAGCGGUGAAAUGCGUAGAUAUCAGGAGGAACGCCUGCGGUGUAGACGGCUUUCUGGACCAUUGCUGACACUCAGGCACGAAAGCGUGGGGGAGCAAAAGGG
rnacentral:rRNA from 1 species